GUGAAUCAUCAAAUUUUUGAACGCAAAUUGUACUCCCUGGUAUUCCGGGGAGUAUGCCUGUUUGAGGGUCGUUAGAAUAAAAAAUCGAGGCGUCGCUCUUUUUUUUAAUGGUGAUCGCGUCGGAAUUUAGCCGUCUUUCAAAUGUUAAUUCAUGUCAAUGUCGCUUAAAAUUCAUCCAUCCGGUACGAUUACGGCGUAUUUAAGAUCAAUUUUGAUUAAGAACUCGCGAU
rnacentral:misc_RNA from 1 species